CUCAAUGAAUUGGAGUUGUCAUUGCAGGUUUGCAGGUCGCAGAUUGCAGAUUGUAUCCGGACUUCGAUGACGAACGCUAUCAUUUAUGGUCUUGCGUGGACACAUAACGUGCCCGUGCUUCAGGCGGAACAGCUGUUCCUUGCUGGGCAACCCUUACAUCCAAGUGAAAGGGAGGAAUUUAAAAGGAAGCUCCAAAAACAACUGCUCCAACCAGGGAGACACUGAGG